rnacentral:rRNA from 1 species
AUGAACGCUGGCGGCGUGCUUAACACAUGCAAGUCGAACGGGAAUUACAUUUUAGCUUGCUAAGUUGUAAUUCUAGUGGCGGACGGGUGAGUAACGCGUGGGUAACCUGCCUUAUACCGGGGGACAACAGUUGGAAACGACUGCUAAUACCGCAUAAGCGCACGAUGAGGCAUCUCAUUGUGUGAAAAACUCCGGUGGUAUAAGAUGGACCCGCGUCUGAUUAGCCAGUUGGCGGUGUAACGGACCACCAAAGCGACGAUCAGUAGCCGGCCUGAGAGGGCAAACGGCCACAUUGGGACUGAGACACGGCCCAAACUCCUACGGGAGRCRGCAGUGGGGAAUAUUGCACAAUGGAGGAAACUCUGAUGWASSUCACAGCGUGAGUGAAGAAGUAUUUCGGUAUGUAAAGCUCUAUCAGCAGGAAAGAAAAUGACGUA